GCUGGGCAUGGUGGCGGGUGCCUGUAAUCCCAGCUACUCAGGAGGCUGAGACAGGAGAAUCGCUUGAACCCAGGAGGCAGAGGCUGCAGUGAGCUGAGAUCAUGCCACUGCACUCCAGCCUGGGUGACAAGAGUGAGACUCUGUCUCAA
rnacentral:SRP_RNA from 2 species